rnacentral:lncRNA from 10 species
GAUCACUCUGGCUGCUGCUUAGAGAAUGGACUGAUGGUAGGGAGUUCAAGAAACAAGAUCUCCUGGGUGGCUUUUGCAGAGGUAGAAAUGAGAGAUCAUGAUGCCUGGAACCUGGAGGAUAGAUUGUGGCACAGAAAAGAAUGAGGAAAGGAAAACCAUAUGGAUAAGAUUAUAAACACAAGAGAGGAAACAAAGGAUUAAGUAAGCUGAAGAAAUGCCAAAUUUCUUACUUCAAGGAAAAGGAACUAAAAAACAUUUUGUCCAGAUUUACCUGCCAGAGGAUUCCAGGGAAUGGCACUAGGCUGGUCCAACAGGGAUGUCCAGGUAUAAGAAAAAGGAAACCAAAUAAGAAGAGAGGACAAUAGAUUCAACAUGGAUAAAUCAGAGAUAUGUGAGAAUGAAUAAAAAGAACAAAAACUAAACUAAAGAAACAGUGAAUUUGUCUUCUAUUUUACUCUUAAAAAGAAGUUCUGGUCAUGAAUAUAAGAGAGUCAGCAGCCAAAAUGAAAAUCCAGCAGUUCCUUAAGGAAGUAAAAAUUUUCAACCAUUUCUAAUGUAUACGUAAA